GCUAAAGCUACAAAUAAGAGGUCCCGCCUGCCCUGUGACGAUAAGUUUAACGGCCGCGGUAUCCUGACCGUGCGAAGGUAGCGCAAUCACUUGUCUUUUAAAUGGAGACCUGUAUGAAUGGCAUAACGAGGGCUCGACUGUCUCCUCUCCCCAGUCAAUGAAAUUGAUCCUCCCGUGCAGAAGCGGGAAUACACACAUAAGACGAGAAGACCCUAUGGAGCUUUAGACACUAAAGCAGAUCAUGUCAAAACCCCCUAAACAAGGAACAAAACUAAUUGAGCUCUGCCCUAAUGUCUUCGGUUGGGGCGACCGCGAGGCACAAAAAACCCCCGCGUGGAUCAAGGACACCUACUUUCUCCUCCAGCCUCCUUACAGCCCAGAGCCCCCGCUCUCACAAACAGAACUUCUGACCUACAAGAUCCGGCAAAGCCGAUCAACGGACCAAGUUACCCUAGGGAUAACAGCGCAAUCCCCUUUUAGAGCCCAUAUCGACAAGGGGGUUUACGACCUCGAUGUUGGAUCAGGACAUCCUAAUGGUGCAGCCGCUAUUAAGGGUUCGUUUGUUCAACGAUUA
rnacentral:rRNA from 1 species